rnacentral:tRNA from 1 species
CCCCUGGUGGUCUAGUGGUUAGGAUGCGGCGCUCUCACCGCUGCGACCCAGGUUCGAUUCCCGGUCAGGGAA